rnacentral:rRNA from 1 species
AGAGUUUGAUCAUGGCUCAGAUUGAACGCUGGCGGCACGCCUAACACAUGCAAGUCGAGCGGUAACAGGUUUAGUAGCAAUACUAGACGCUGACGAGCGGCGGACGGGUGAGUAACACGUAGGAACCUACCUUUGAGUGGGGGAUAACCAAGGGAAACUUUGGCUAAUACCGCAUAAGUUCGAAGGAAGAAAGCUGCAGCAAUGUAGCGCUGAAAGAGGGGCCUGCGUCCGAUUAGCUAGUUGGUGAGGUAAAGGCUCACCAAGGCGAUGAUCGGUAACUGGUCUGAGAGGACGACCAGUCACACUGGGACUGAGACACGGCCCAGACUCCUACGGGAGGCAGCAGUGGGGAAUAUUGGACAAUGGGGGCAACCCUGAUCCAGCGAUGCCGCGUGGGUGAAGAAGGCCUUCGGGUUGUAAAGCCCUUUAGGUUGGGAAGAAGGUUACGAGAGGAAAUGCUUGUAACUUGACGGUACCGACAGAAUAAGCACCGGCAAACUCUGUGCCAGCAGCCGCGGUAAUACAGAGGGUGCGAGCGUUAAUCGGAGUUACUGGGCGUAAAGGGCGCGUAGGCGGUGAGAUGUGUGUGAUGUGAAAGCCCUGGGCUUAACCUGGGAAGUGCAUCGCAAACUAUCUGACUGGAGUAUAAGAGAGGGUGGCGGAAUUUCCGGUGUAGCGGUGAAAUGCGUAGAGAUCGGAAGGAACGUCAAUGGCGAAGGCAGCCACCUGGCUUAAUACUGACGCUGAGGCGCGAAAGCGUGGGGAGCGAAAGGAUUAGAUACCCNNGUAGUCC